rnacentral:rRNA from 1 species
UACGUAGGGGGCGAGCGUUGUCCGGAUUUACUGGGCGUAAAGAGCGCGUAGGCGGAAAUUUAAGCGUGGCCUGAAAGCCCCCGGCUCAACCGGGGAGUGCGGCUGCGAACUGGGUUUCUUGAGGACGAUAGAGGAGAGUGGAAUUCCUGGUGUAGCGGUGAAAUGCGUAGAUAUCAGGAGGAACACCCGAGGCGAAGGCGGCUCUCUGGGUCGUACAUGACGCUGAGGCGCGAAAGCGUGGGGAGCGAACGGG